UUUCCUUUAAUUUUUUACUCUAUAAUAGAGUAAAAAUAGAUUAUAUAUAUAAUAAUUCAUUUUUUUUUUGUUCAUCAUCAGUAUAUUUUUCACUACAAUUAGAGAAAAACUUAACUACAUUAUAGAAUUACUUUAUUUUAAAAGUAAAAAAUAAAAAAAAAAUAAACCAUUGGAAAUUGUCUUGAGCUGGAAUACUUAUUAUUUGGUUAUGGCCAUUUAAUAAAUCGAUCAUAACUAAACCGUGUCAGGUUUCAUGAAUUUAAAGCCAUGGCCGUGUUUUUCUCACGAAACGAGUCCUGAGCAGGAAGCCCAUCCGAAGAGCCGCCGCGACGCAUCCUCACUAGUCGCC
rnacentral:lncRNA from 1 species